UACGUGGUGUAAUCUAAAUUUAGUGGACAAAGCGGAUAAAAUAGGCAUAUAUAUGGCAAAAUUUGUUGGUUAACUAUCUUGAAAUCGAUAAAUACUUCUUUAUUCCUUGAAGUGCUCCUUGUUAUAAUAGUUUUUCAAAAGAGGCAUCAUGUCUUCAGUUGAGAGCAAGGCUGCAAAAAAGAAUCAAAAACAUGCAGAAAGCAAGCCAAGGAAAGAGCUCUAAAGUUGAAGGAAGACAGUGUGAUUGAUCAACUCAAGAAUGAAAGUAAGGAUUCUCAUACAGGAAACAUGAAAUUUUUAGAUCCUGUCUAACAACUGAAAGCAAAACUGCAAGAGGCAAAAGAUAUACAGAUAUUUUAUCAGAACCUUUGAACCAGUAUCAUCAUCCAUUUCACUCCAAAAUUUAUCAACUAGAAUUUAUUUGCAAUUUGUCCUAUUUGCUUUACACAAAAUAACUAUUGACAAUGGAUAAAAGGAAAUCAAUAUUGUAAAUAUGAAAUGCUAUUGUGAUACAUUGUGCUUUACCAUUGAGGAUCAUUUACUAGCAACCAGACCAAGAAAGGAAUUGUGGAUAAUGCAAGAUAAAAUGGCAGGGUUUGCUCUGUUAGUAAAAGACAUUAUUGAUAUUUUUUUAUAAAUGAUGAAUAUCUUCUCCAUGAAAA